rnacentral:rRNA from 1 species
AUUGAACGCUGGCGGCAUGCCUUACACAUGCAAGUCGAACGGCAGCGGACCUUCGGGUGCCGGCGAGUGGCGAACGGGUGAGUAAUAUAUCGGAACGUACCUUUCAGUGGGGGAUAACGUAGCGAAAGUUACGCUAAUACCGCAUAUUCUGUGAGCAGGAAAGCAGGGGAUCGCAAGACCUUGCGCUGAUUGAGCGGCCGAUAUCAGAUUAGCUAGUUGGUGAGGUAAAGGCUCACCAAGGCGACGAUCUGUAGCGGGUCUGAGAGGAUGAUCCGCCACACUGGAACUGAGACACGGUCCAGACUCCUACGGGAGGCAGCAGUGGGGAAUUUUGGACAAUGGGCGCAAGCCUGGUCCAGCCAUGCCGCGUGAGUGAAGAAGGCC